UCUCAUGAGACAAAGGAUUCGCUCCUGAGCCCCGCCACACCUUAAAAAAUGCUUUGAAGGGCUUGCCAAGCUCACUUUUAAUCAUGGGAAAGAAAUUACCCACAUGGAGUCAGCAGAAAAUGAAAAAGUGGGCCUCGUGCUGAGAUAAUUCCAGCAAGUGCCAAGGGGCUAGUUGAGAUAUGGCUUCAUGAGG
rfam:Sarcophilus harrisii ctg7180002422115, whole genome shotgun sequence.